AAUUUUGGACAAUGGGCGCAAGCCUGAUCCAGCCAUGCCGCGUGAUUGAAGAAGGCCUCCGUGUUGUAACGCUCUUUCGGACGGAAAGAAAUCGCGCAGGCUAAUACCCUGCGCGGAUGACGGUACCGUCAUAAGAAGCACCGGCUAACUACGUGCCAGCAGCCGCGGUAAUACGUAGGGUGCGAGCGUUAAUCGGAAUUACUGGGCGUAAAGCGUGCGCAGGCGGUUGAUUAAGACAGGCGUGAAAUCCCCGGGCUUAACCUGGGAACUGCGCUUGUGACUGGUCAGCUAGAGUACGGCAGAGGGGGGUGGAAUUCCACGUGUAGCAGUGAAAUGCGUAGAGAUGUGGAGGAACACCAGUGGCGAAGGCGACCACCUGGACUGAUACUGACACUGAGGUGCGAAAGCGUGGGGAGCAAACAGG
rnacentral:rRNA from 1 species